UGAAUAAAGAGCCCUCACACAUUGAACAUUCCUGAAUCUGCCCAUGCCUUAUCUUCUUCCCUCUCUUACCAACUCGAGAACCGAAAAGAAUCGUUGCCGGAGAACUAGACACUCACGCUCGCGAGCAUGUACGAUAGAACCUACAUUAAAUUUUUGUAUGACUGGUGCGUGAUGUCAACGCGAAGGAAACAACAUAUUUAGAUUCAAGAGGUAAAGCGCGCGCCAGCAUUCAACACACUCCGACAAACACAUGCGUGGCUUAAUAGAUACGCAGAGAGAAGAGUGUACUGUUAAAGUCGUACAGGAAGGAGGAUACACAUAUACGACAACCGCAAAUUAUCCGAGGGGACCGAGACACUGCGCGUGGGAGUGGCGAAAAGAAAACAUCGAGACAAGUAGCGUUAAACAGGUUUCCUUGUCAAGAUCAAGCAACGAUCUCACCUGAAGAGAAGUUUCGGAUUUUGGGGGACUGAUUAUUAAACAUCUAAUAGAAGGACAUUACAAAUGACUGGAAGGGACAUAAUACUGCUAUAUACGUUUUUUUUAACAAUAAUUAUUAUCUUAUAGAUUGUUCUCUAUAAAGUUGUAGCCUACCUUAAUCACCCGUUGGAACGAAAAUACGUCCUCGCGCGUUGGUUACGGUAUCAGGUGCAGCGGCCACCCAGGAACUUCAGUGCUUCUGAAGUUGUCCUGACCGCCCUCCACCACUAGAGAGUGCUGUGUCCUCUCCAGUCAAUGGGAACGACCCUGCUCUCAUUCACAUGAUGAUUGCCACGCCGCCACACUCCCCCCGUAUCCCAGAACCAUCGGCCCUCACGGCCGGCCAAUGCUUCCGCUGCCCGGCCCCGCCCCCCAGUUCCCCUAGCGAGGGCCAUUACCCGCGGCGGCCCACUUCCGUGUCCUUCUCAUCCCUGGCCACAUGCACUUCGGAGCCCUUGCGCCGGCACAGUGUCCAGCCAGCGAUGGCUGGGUGGAGGCAGAAUCGACAGCGCAGUAUGAGUCUGGAGGACUUGGAUCCAGCAGAGAUGGAGACUGUUCUCUUCGGGGCCCUGGGGGGUCCAGUUUCCAGGGAGGGGCGGGAUCU